UACUACUUUGUUCAUUUUGUUAUCUUUCGCUACCUAUUUAUCCUUCAUAUGGUUCAUAAUACUUCAAAUGCAAUAAAAUGUUAACUUUUUCACCUUCCCAAUGCAAUUUCUUGGAACAGAUUUCUGAAAAAGCAAUUGUCUAACAUGUCUAAUCAUAAUGCAGCAUAGCUCCCAAUGUUCCAUAAUGAAUGUUGCCUCUUACUUCUAACCUCUCUCAUUUCUCUCAUCUUUUUCCAUCAAAUUGUUAUAGAUCUAUAUACCAAGACGCAAACUGACUUUAAACCAUAUAAAAAGUGUUGUAGAUUUACAUAUAAGAUGGAAAAAGUUAUAUAACAUUGAUAAAAGAAAAGAAUUGAGGUUGAAUGAAUAAACUUUUGUUUGAAUAAUGGAUGAGGGUAGUGAAGAAAUCUGAGUUUUCGUUUGAAUGGUGGAUCUUGAAAAAGAAUGAUGAUGGAAGUUUUGCAUUUGAAGGGACAAAUCAAAUUUCUUUACUUUUCAAAGAGUUAGGUUGAACGGCUGAUGAA